UUAUUCCUGAUGUAGGCAGUCAUGUAGAUCCCCCUCCUAUUGACAGCUAUCUGUCAAUUCCAGAGUCCUAAUGCUGGUGUUAUUCCAGAUGUUGCCCCGCUAUACAUGUCUUGGGUUUGACUGACCAGGACUUGACCAGAGGACUCAAAGAGCAGGUUUUGCUACUUGUAAGCUGGGCAGCUUCUUGGAGUUGGAUGUGCUGCUGUCCUGUAGCUUGAUAGCAGCUCACUUUUGAUGCAUUCCCCCCCACCCCCUCCCCGAUAGUCCUUGUUAUGGACAACUUCAGCACUCAUCUAGGUAAGUCUCAUUCCUAAUAAGCUCUUCUCGUUUGUUCUCUGGAAAUGGGGAGAGCUUUCUUCAGUAGAUUCUCAAGUGCUUGAAUAUCAGCUUUGACUUGUCUCCAUUUGUGCAUAUUGUUGUCUUUAUGGCAUUGAGACGUGUUCCCCAACAGUCUCUGAGUAACAAAUUUUACCUCUGUUACUUGGUGAGGAGCAGAACCGGUUAAAGUUGGUUAUCUACUGGUGCACAUCCAAAACCACAAGCUCUGAUAUCUGAUAGGGCUGCCCCAAACCUAGUGAUGAGUGGUUAAUGCUCCUUUCGCUUUUUGUAUUUAUGCAUGUCAGGCAAAUGUUUCGUCCUAUGUCAGUUCUUGCAGUGUACCUUUCAUUUGUCAGGUUACAGCAAAAAUCUAACUUUUUUUUUACACAUUUCUAAGCCUCCGAUUUAAAUGUAUUUUUAUGGAACGGUCAAAUGAUGGUCUAAUACCAAACCUCUUUCUUUGCAAAUAUUAACAUUACUUACUCAUACCUAAGAAUUUGACAUGUAUUAUAAUUAUUCAAAAUACACUUUUAAAAUACAAAUAGCUGUCAACUGACAAGGUUUUUGUCUUAGAAGAAGCCUGUUGAACAAUAUCAGAAGCAUCUUUUAUGGUCCAGAGGACUCUUAAUCCAAGAAUUCCUUGGGGGCACAAUUAUCCACAAGAACAAUGUCUUCAGGUACUAAAUUUAACUUCAGAUUUCUGCCACUUUUGCCAUUCUUUCAGUAGCUGCAUGCAUUUCUUAGUCCAUGUAGACAAGAAGAGAUUGGUCAUGUUGAAUUUGCUUCCAUCUUCUACUUGAAUAACAGUCCUCUUUCUGAAAAACUCCUGGUGGCAUGAUUUCAUCAGCAGAGGGUUUGUAAUCAGAGGCUCAAACUCAUGGUUUAGCAAUUGGUCAUAGUUUAAUGACUUCAACACAAUUGUGUGAAGCGUUUAAUCAUCUAAUACCUGUUAAUUCAACACCAAAUUGAGAACUUUCUAAAUUGCAUUUGUCCUUCCCAUGUUCCACGUUGAGAUGCUGGAGUAUUUUGAAAAUCCACUUUGUCCAAAAUCCAGUUUACAAUUUCUCUCUUCAAACGGUGUACAAAGAAUCUCCAUCUUUCUGCCUCUAAAGUUU